rnacentral:misc_RNA from 1 species
AAGUCGUAACAAGGUUUCCGUAGGUGAACCUGCGGAAGGAUCAUUAACACGUAUCCAACGUAUCAACCAACCGUGAACUGUUUUCCCCUCCCUUGGCGAGGAAUGAAUCGGAACUGUGUGCGACUGUUGAGUGGGGCCUUCGGGCCGGUCAAGCACAGCUAUCUACGCGUUUCGGCGCGUUAACGAUUGGAUUCUCGCGAAGGCUAUUUUUCCCUAUCAAUUUCUCCAUUCAAGAGGAUGAUAGUGGAUAACACACUAACCAUUUUAACCCGUUUUGCUAGUUGAUUUUUUAAUGUUGAAGCUUCGAAAGAAGCCUCACACGUUUAUUAUUUGAACGUAAAAUACAACUCUUAGCAAUGGAUAUCUUGGUUCUC